UACAGAGGGGGCAAGCGUUGUUCGGAAUUACUGGGCGUAAAGGGCUCGUAGGUGGCCAACUAAGUCGGAUGUGAAAUCCCCAGGCUCAACCUGGGAACUGCAUCCGAUACUGGAUGGCUUGAAUUCGGGAGAGGGAUGCAGAAUUCCAGGUGUAGCGGUGAAAUGCGUAGAUAUCCGGAGGAAUACCGGUGGCGAAGGCGGCAUCCUGGACCGACAUUGACGCUGAGGUGCGAAAGCGUGGGGAGCAAACAGGG
rnacentral:rRNA from 1 species